rnacentral:rRNA from 1 species
GAUGAACGCUGGCGGCGUGCCUAAUACAUGCAAGUCGAGCGAACAGACGAGGAGCUUGCUCCUCUGACGUUAGCGGCGGACGGGUGAGUAACACGUGGAUAACCUACCUAUAAGACUGGGAUAACUUCGGGAAACCGGAGCUAAUACCGGAUAAUAUAUUGAACCGCAUGGUUCAAUAGUGAAAGACGGUUUUGCUGUCACUUAUAGAUGGAUCCGCGCCGCAUUAGCUAGUUGGUAAGGUAACGGCUUACCAAGGCAACGAUGCGUAGCCGACCUGAGAGGGUGAUCGGCCACACUGGAACUGAGACACGGUCCAGACUCCUACGGGAGGCAGCAGUAGGGAAUCUUCCGCAAUGGGCGAAAGCCUGACGGAGCAACACCGCGUGAGUGAUGAAGGUCUUCGGAUCGUAAAACUCUGUUAUUAGGGAAGAACAAAAGUGUAAGUAACUAUGCACGUCUUGACGGUACCUAAUCAGAAAGCCACGGCUAACUACGUG